CAGUAGCCACGGUAACACGAGGGGGGCUAGCGUUGUUCGGAAUUACUGGGCGUAAAGCGCACGUAGGCGGAUAUUUAAGUCAGGGGUGAAAUCCCGCAGCUCAACUGCGGAACUGCCUUUGAUACUGGGUAUCUUGAGUAUGGAAGAGGUUAGUGGAAUUGCGAGUGUAGAGGUGAAAUUCGUAGAUAUUCGCAGGAACACCAGUGGCGAAGGCGGCUAACUGGUCCAUAACUGACGCUGGGGUGCGAAAGCGUGGGGAGCAAACAGGAUUAGAUACCCGGGUAGUCCCUGUCUCUUAUAC
rnacentral:rRNA from 1 species